UACGGAGGAUGCAAGCGUUAUCCGGAAUGAUUGGGCGUAAAGCGUCCGCAGGUGGCAAUGUAAGUCUGAUGUGAAAUCCCGGGGCUCAACCCCGGAACUGCAUUGGAUACUGCUUUGCUAGAGUACUGGAGAGGGAACUGGAAUUUACGGUGUAGCAGUGAAAUGCGUAGAGAUCGUAAGGAAGGCCAGUGGCGAAGGCGAGUUCCUGGACAGUUACUGACGCUGAGGCGCGAAGGCCAGGGGAGCAAACGGG
rnacentral:rRNA from 1 species